rnacentral:lncRNA from 1 species
GAUGCUCUCAUUAGCUCUUGUUGUUCACAGAGACUCGUGGCAGGAAUGACACACGAGUGAUAUGCAUUGUGUUGGAUUUGGUGACUGUUAUGUUGGAGUGUGGCGUGAAGAGACUUGGGGACAUUAAAUCACUGAGAGUUCUCAUGCAAGACGGACUCUGCCAUCACUUACUUACUGUAAAUGAGCAACUUUACGAAAACGAAUCUGUUGAUGUUUUUGGUCUCUCUUUGACAAAGUGCUUUCUUCUUUUUGAUUCAAAUUGUCAUCAUCUCAAACUACAGCUGGAGUAGUUCCUUAAUAAGCUAAUGCGCACAAUACAAUUAGAUCAGUCAAGACUUCAAGCAGGAAGACAAGAGCUAACAUUAGAAUGUCUCAAUUCAAUUUUGUCACAUUCAUAAUUUUGUAUCAGAGUUAUAUGUUAAUUAUGAUUGCAGUACCUACUGUACUAACGUGUGCGAGAGACUGAGCAAACUACUUGCUAAGCGAGCAUUCCCCAGCUCUUAUCACACGAUAUCAUCAACCAACAUAAUUAGCAAUGGAAACACUACUGGCAAUGAUACUGGCAUUAGAAUCAACCAACACCACCACUACUGAUAGUGAUGAUACCAAUGAUGGUGAUACUAAUAGAAUGUGUACUAAGAUUAAUGGAGGGAAAGUUGCAGGUGACUGUAAUAAAGGAAUAAGCAGCAGCAACCAGAUAUCAGUCUGAAUGGAGC